CGGGGUGUGGCCCAGAUGGUUUAAGGCGCCUGCUUUGGGAGCAGGAGAUCCCGAGUUCAAAUCUCGGCAUCCCGACCA
rnacentral:tRNA from 1 species